GCAGGGGAAGAUUUCCUGCCAGGGAAAGCCUGGCUGGUGGGUCUGGCUGCCCUGCAGCAGCUGGGGAGAUCUUGAGGCAUGAACUGCUGCUGCCAGGAGAUUUCAGCUUCAGUGAUAGACUGGUUUGGGAAGUCUUGGUUUAACAUCUGUACUGUUGUUUCUACCUCUGGAACACCGGUGCUCCCAUAGUGGGGAAAUGAAACAGUGAAGAGGCUGUUGUGAGCAGCUCGGGUUUGUUCACUGAGUUGCCCGUGGGGCAGCCAGAGUCAGCUGCAGUCAGCAUCUCGAGAGCCUGCAUCAGAGAGCAGCACAGCUAUGGAGGUAAGAGGUGAGGGUAUCGCAGCGAGUGCCCUUGUGGGCAGCACUGGGGUGAUUAUGCCCUUGGGCUGCAGGGUACGUUGGCACUGGAGGUCAAAAUGAUAUCAAAUCUUGACACCCCCCAAACUCAGUGCAAGGUCUCUCAGUCUCUCAUCCCUAGCAGAUCAGACUUGCAGUGAUGCCUGAUUCCCAGAAACAAGGGAGGAAAAAGAGGCAACAGGGGGGGAAGGAGGACAGGGAUGCUGUUGGAAACUGUUGGCCUUUUAAGACCUCUUAUAAAGUCUCUUUAUUAUUGCAAAGAUGAGCUUGCUAUAAACUCCCGAAUGGACAGACGGCAGCUGAGAUGCGAGAGAACGGGGCCUAAGACAGUUUUCUAUUAUCUGGGAGAUUUCUGUCUUAAUAGAAGCUUUCAGAGCCAGCACGAGUGUUGAGCUGUAAAAUUAUGCCCCUGUAGGAACAAUGUGUUCUGAUGGAAAAGGCAAAUAAAUUGUUUUGUGACUUGAUAUUGGACACACAGUAUUGCUCUGUUGGUUCUGAAGUCAGAAAGACUCCAUCACAGAUAGUGAGCCUUAAUAUCUUCUGUGGCAAAAAUAAAAAUCACUUUCUGUUCUCACUAAGAAAAUACUUUGCCCCUAUGGGGUAAUUCCUGUUAAAGUUGGCUGCUCUGUCCAUCUUGCAGAAAGUUUUCUUCUCCUCUGUAGCACAGGGCAGCAACCCUUUCUACUGUUGUACACACAUUUUUCCUUAAUUUUUCUUUUCACAGUCUCUACUAUCUCAGCCUGUAACUGUGAAAUUAAUGUUUACAUAAUUCAAACUAUUUAAAACUAACCAAAGCAAACUGUCAACUUCCAGUUUGGGCUGAAAUGGAGAGCAGUCCAUGCACCAGUAGACACACAUGUAUACCCACCUGCCUGUCACACAACAGGAUUAAAUGCCAGCAGCCCAUAAUUUCAGGUUAGCCAAGGCUUCUCCACCCCAGUGUUUUAUGCCUUGCAAUUUCAGUGCUCUUCAGAGAGGCCAGACCUCUCUGCAUGCAGAGAAUGGUUGUGUAGGCCUAUGGUCAACAAAACAGAUCAUGUACUUGGUCUUGCCAUUACUUUAUUUAUCUUACUACUUGCUUUACUCACCAGUUCUGGGUGGUGUCUCUUUCUGGGACGCCAGCCACAGCUUCCAUUAUUGGCUGCACCCUUUAUCAUAAUUCUGCAUUACUUCCUUUUCUGCCAAUGGCAAUCACAUAAGUGCAAUGGAUUAUUUACCUCCUUUCAGUUUAAAUAUGAUCUAUGUAUUUCAGCUCAGCUUAAUAGCCCUUACAUUAACAGUGCAUUUCUGUUAAAGGAUUUUAAUUGGAUGCAUGUCCCAAUAAUUCACACAACAAUAUUUAUUUUUUCUGCCAAAAAACUUAAUUCAAUAGAGAGCCUGCCUUCAUAGUUUACAGGUUUCUAAAGAGAAUGAAUCUAAUGAAUUUUUAGUGUUAGGCUUUUCUUCCACUUUCUUUAAUCUGCAGUCAAGGAAAUGUAAUUACUUUUCACCUUGUCUUCUGUUUGCUUUUUGCAUUCCACUUCUCCUGUACUUGGGUAUGAAUCACGCUUUAUUUGGAAUCAUGGAAGAACAGGCAUGGGUGUGCUGCUGGUUCUGCGUCAGGUCUAUACUUUCAGUAGAGACACUCAGCUGCUAUAAAUCAGCAAAGGAGUCAAUGAAGCCAACUUGGUUUAGACAAGCAAGGGAUGUGACCCUUGGUCUUCUGCAAGAGAAGGUCCUUAGCCCUACCCCUUUGAAAAUUCUAACUUAAACCAAAACAAAAGAAUAUAUGGCUGUCAAUCAAACACAUACUGUUUCUUCUCUUGGUGAUGGUUUGCUCUUGUGGGUUUUUUCCUCCUCCUAGGAAUGCAGUUGAUAGAAUUCAGAUAAAAACCCAGUGCCUAAGAAAGACCCUUCAGCAAAAUGUUUGUCCGGCACUGUUAGAACUUGCCCCUGGAUAAUGACUUAGAUCCACCUUUAUCUUUCUCUUGCAACUCUCACACAAUUAAGCAGACAAUUCCAGUGUUCACUGAAACUUACUGAUGAUUAUCAGUCUGAAUCUGCUCCUACUGACAAUAAAUUUUACACUGGUGGAACAGAGCGGGCUUUGGCCCAUCUCUUGCAGGUUACCUGCCUAUACUCAGUACUUCUUUUGAAACCUCAUGCUCUAUCAGUGAAGCAAUAACUCUGUAGGCUCAGCUGAGCUUUCCCUUGAACCUGGUCUCUAAUUAACCACUGCUUUAAUUUCUUAUCAGCAGAUUAGCUUACUGCAGAAACAUUUGGCAUUUCCAUAGCUUGUCAAGUCACAUAGGAACGCAGCUUCUGUCAUCUUGCCACAACCUUAGUGUUACACAACAUAUCAGCUGAAGUCUUAGAAGUUUUCCAGACCUUUUAAUCUUCACUUCUUGCUUCCUAUUGAUCCUUUCAAAUAGAUGUCAUUCCACCCACAGACAUUUUGCCCCAUGGGGAUCUAAACCAAGCUGGGAUGAGUAAAGACCCAUUUCAUACACCGAGGAAAACAGAAGAAAGAUUAGGGUCUAACUAUAAGCCUCUAUUUAUGAAGGCAGUAAAGCUUGCACUUCAUCCAUUCCUGUUGUAAUAACUGGUGUUGUGAGAGCUAUGGAAACCACAGCCUUAUUUGUACUAGAUGUUGUACAAAUGUAUAAUGAAGAGGAAGUGUUAAGUUCUGAAAGACUGCCUAGAAAUGUAAGAAUAAAGUCAACAGGAAGAGCCAACCAACAGACAGGCGUAUGGGAAAUAUGACAAAACUUCUAUCUACAGAGGAAUUCACUGGUCAAAACAAAUUACCUGAUGAGCGGUGCUGUGAUUUCUGUGGGUAUUGUGGCAUAUCCUCAGCCCAGAGCACAUGUCUAAGUCUAAUUGAAGAAAUUAAUGUUUAGCAUGUGCUUCAGUGCUUUGCUGAAUCAGAUUCAUACAGUACUGCCACCAGCCAUGUUAACACUGGAUGGAGAUGAGCUAAUGUGUCUGGUAUCAGUGAAAUUCCUUAGUGUCUCCCAAAUGGAGUACGUUGUGUCCAGCCAGAAGAACUGAAGCCCCUUUCUGUACUGUGAUUUUCAACUCUGAUUAAACCAUCUCAACAUACAUUCCCGAGCCCACUGAUGUAAUUGAUUCCUUCCAGAGAAAACACUGUGUAGAGCAACACUGCCAGGAAAUGGGAGCCCUCACAUUUGGAGCCAGUGUUUGUUGUAAAUAUCCUGACUGACGUCUUUUGUGUGGCAGCUUGAGAAGAAGCUUGUUUUGUCAUCCUUUUCAACUGCACUAUUGUCCAAGUCUGGAAAGAAACCGGGAUCUCAUCUGUGGAGAAGAAAAAUCCAUCUUAGAAAAGGAGAUGAAAUACAGUAAGGGCAAAGGCAGCCUUGAAAUGGGUUUGCAGUGAGAAAGUACGUUUCCUGGAGGUCUUGUCAAAAUAAUCUUUAUCAACAAAGGACUAUUAAGUGCUAUGAGAUUUGAGCUUUUCUUUGCUGUUAUUGUAGGUUCAGUGAGUCAAUAUUCAUUUCCCAAAAGUGAUGCUCUCCCUGACCUAUGGUUGCAACGUGACCCUCUGCCCCUUGCUUCAAACAAAUCCAGCAGCUUUGCAGUGCUCUAGAAGCAGCCAGCUCACCUAACUCUGAGGCAUUUCCCAGAAGCAGCAAAAUUCAAGGGGAGUUUUGCAACUAACCUGAGUGUUUGUGCUAGGCACUCUACCACAGCUACAGCAUAGACUGGAGAGCCCUUCUGCUGAAAGCAACAAGCCCCUUGUCUCUCUCAGAAACAUGUGGCAGUGAGUCCUAACAUCAUCUUCCAGUAGUUCACAAAAUGUGAUUGCUUGCUGACAGAAGCUGAUCAGAAUUGAGAACUGAGAACUGUUAUGAUCAGUUCUUUGCCACUGAUAAGACCUUCAGAAAACAAUAUGAAAAUGCUUGCAGAGGGGCACACAUGCAAAAGGUGCACCAAAACAGACAAAACCUGGAGACAGUUACCUUGGAAUAUCUGAGGAACAAGUUGAAGUCAGCUCUGAUUGUAACAGAAGUCAGAGAAGAACAAAUUUACUGUUCCUCCUCCUUUUGACAGAGCUCAUCUUUGGAAGUCAUACACUCAACAGCUUAACAUCUGGGAAGAUGUUAGAAAAUGAGUCAGUGAGAGACAGGUGAAAAAUACUGAUGUGCAGAACUGCGGGGAGAAGGCCUUCAUGCUCCUCCUGGAAGGUCCAUGAAGUGUAAGAAAAACAAGGACACUGUCAGUAAGGUAAGCAUGCUAAUCUACUCAUAUGAUUCUGUGAAAGUCAUUUUCGGUCCACAGUUGUCAUGUUGGUGCUGCUGGUGAAUAUAACAUGGGAGAGUGACUUACUGAAGGCCUGGGCUGGGAAGCUGGCCUUUGCUCACAGGACUGUAGCCACCCUGGGCUAAGAGAGUUCCCUAAUCCCGCUUAUCUGGAGUAUUUACACUCCUCACAGCACCCAAGUGUCAGCAGGUAUAGGGCAGCCACGUUUCAGCUUUGAGUCAUCAGGGGAAAGCAGUCAGGUCCAGGGCCUGUAGCGACUGGAAAUCGUAACCUGGGGUUGGCUGCGUGUGCUCUGCAGGAUGAUUCGGUGGGCUUGAUCCAUUUUCCCCACAUACACACAUAAAACACCCACACAUCUGGCUUGUAUUAGCGUGCCCUCGUUGGCAAUUGCUCUAAAGACAAACUCAUCUGGGAAGAACUGGAGCGUCUGAACCAGCUGCAGCUUACCCAGCCUGUGUAGAGCACAGGUAGAGCGAGGGAGCAGCAGAGGACCUGCACUGUCAUGCUCAGCCAGCUCUGGGCAUCCUAACGGCCAACCUGACAAGGUGCCAUACUUCCAGAGAAUAGCAUUUCCUGAGCAUUUGCAAUAACCUUUUGUUUGUAAAUCUGAAAUGCCAUGCCCUCUUUUUCUAGCUCAGUCAUUUUGCUUUUCCAAGACGUAUACUUUCAGAAAUAAAUAAAUAAAUAAACACCAUGCCUUAUUUUCACUAUUUGGGAGCCAAAGGCAUCCACCAAAGUCACAGCUCUCUAAUCGCAGGGUUCAGGGAGCCAGAAACACAGGACCUUUCCCAUACACCGUGGGUCUGCAGGGAGGCGAGGACAAGGUUUGGCUACGGUCUCUGCCUCCAGCAAGGAGGAGCUGCGCGAAAGGUGCAUUGAGAGAAUUCUGAUCACCACAACUGCCAAAGCCAAUUACCAAGAGGAGGACGCUAUAAUUAUAUCAGGGAACAGCUGUACUUCAUUAGGAGCCCUCGCGAGGCGGCUCGAUGCUCGGCCACGUUACGCACGGCCGCUUUACGCCUUUCCUCGCUUUCCUUCCCUGCCCGAGCUCUGGCACGGUCCCGGGCGCUGCAGCUGCAGGAGCUGUGCCGUGUCCCUAGAGCCGCACCUGCCCCGCGGGCCGCGCUCUGUCUCGC